rnacentral:rRNA from 1 species
UACGUAGGGUGCAAGCGUUGUCCGGAUUUAUUGGGCGUAAAGAGCGUGUAGGCGGCCAGGUAGGUGGGUUGUGAAAACUGGAGGCUCAACCUUCAGAGGUCGACCCAAACCCCCUGGCUAGAGUCCGGAAGAGGAGAGUGGAAUUCCUGGUGUAGCGGUGAAAUGCGCAGAUAUCAGGAAGAACACCCGUGGCUAAGGCGGCUCUCUAGUACGGUACUGACGCUGAGACGCGAAAGCGUGGGGAGCGAACAGG